UUUAUUUUAAUUUUUUAUGUUCUAAACUUCACUUUUUAUAGGGAAGUAACUAAAGCUUCUCCUCUUUACCAAAUGAAAACGAUUUAACUUUCGGUUAUAUACGUUAGAAUUUCCCUUGCAGCACAUGGUCAUCAUUCAUUGUAUAAGAUCUCUGAUUGCAUAACCCAAAGUCAUGGCUAAAAAAACAAAAAAUUCCGUCACUCGCUGAGAAUCUUCACAGCGAUAAAGCUGUCAGAUACAGACAUAAAUAAGAAUUAAAGAAAAGAGAAAAGAAACCCAUCAAAUUGAAAGUUAUUGGCAGUUAAUUAGUUGUUGGACCAAUCCGAAUGGUGCUUAUGCCUUCUAGAACAUUCUUUCCUUGACCAUUCUUUGAUCAUAGCUAAUUUUGUGCUACACCGGCAUCGGAGUAUUUCAUAAGUCGCGAUGUCUAUGGCGCAAUUGGACCCUCGGAGUCUGGCACUUAAUUAAUGUUCUUAAAUAAAUUCAUAUUUUCGGAGUGUGUGUUGAUGUUCUGUAAGAAAUUAUUUUCGGCUACCUGUCGUGACUUAAUGACCUUUUCGCAGCUGAAGCCUGGCAUCAACUUAAGUAUAUUAAUUAUUAUUGGCAGACACUUUACAAAGCAGCCAACACGAGAAACAAUAAAAUAUCAA